rnacentral:rRNA from 1 species
UGACACACGGCUCAGUAACAUGUAGUCAACCUACCUUGGAGACACCGACAAUCCCUGGAAACUGGGGCUAACCCGUGGCGGGUUCAGAGUUCUGGAAUGGCUCCGAGCUGAAAGGGUCAGGCGAGCAUGCUUGCUUGAUCGCUCCAAGACGGGACUGCGGCCGAUCAGGUUGUUGGUUGGGUAGUGGCCCACCAAGCCAGUAACCGGUGCGGGCUCUGAGAGGAGGGGCCCGGAGAUGGACACUGAGACAAGGGUCCAGGCCCUACGGGGCGCAGCAGGCGCGAAACCUUUACACUGCACGAGAGUGCGAUAAGGCUAUACCGAGUGCCAUCCGCUGAGGGUGGCUUUUCCUAGGUCUAAAUAGCCUGGGGAAUAAGGGGAGGGCAAGCCUGGUGUCAGCCGCCGCGGUAAUACCAGCUCCCCGAGUGGUCAGGACGAUUAUUGGGCUUAAAGCAUCCGUAGCCGGCUUUGUAGGUCUCUUGUUAAAUCCAACGGCUCAACCGUUGGUUCGCAGGGGAUACCGCGGAGCUAGGGGGCGGGAGAGGCGGACGGUACUCCAUAGGUAGGGGUAAAAUCCUUUGAUCUAUGGAAGACCACCAGUAGCGAAGGCGGUCCGCUAGAACGCGCCCGACGGUGAGGGAUGAAAGCUGGGGGAGCGAACCGGAUUAGAUACCCGGGUAGUCCCAGCUGUAAACGAUGCAGGCUAGGUGAUAGAGAGGCUACGUGCCUCCCUAGUGCCGCAGGGAAACCGAUAAGCCUGCCGCCUGGGGAGUACGAUCGCAGGGUUGAACUUAAAGGCCA